rnacentral:rRNA from 1 species
CCUACGGGAGGCAGCAGUGAGGAAUAUUGGUCAAUGGGCGCGAGCCUGAACCAGCCAAGUAGCGUGAAGGAUGACUGCCCUAUGGGUUGUAAACUUCUUUUAUAUGGGAAUAAAGUGCAGUAUGUAUACUGCUUUGCAUGUACCUUAUGAAUAAGGAUCGGCUAACUCCGUGCCAGCAGCCGCGGUAAUACGGAGGAUUCGAGCGUUAUCCGGAUUUAUUGGGUUUAAAGGGAGCGUAGGCGGGUUGUUAAGUCAGUUGUGAAAGUUUGUGGCUCAACCGUAAAAUUGCAGUUGAUACUGGCAACCGUGAGUACAGUAGAGGUAGGCGGAAUUCGUGGUGUAGCGGUGAAAUGCUUAGAUAUCACGAAGAACUCCGAUUGCGAAGGCAGCCUGCUGGACUGUAACUGACGCUGAUGCUCGAAAGUGUGGGGAUCAAACAGGAUUAGAUACCCUUGUAGUC